CCUUAUGGUCUCUCUGGCCCGAACCUCCCAACCCUUUGUCUACUUGGACCAUCGUUGUCUUCGGCGAGCCCGUCCUCACGGACCGCCGGAGGGAUCUUUACUGGCCCUCUGGUCCGCGCUCGUCGGUAGCCCAACCUUUAAAAUCUUUAACUAAACGUGCCUUAAUCUAAGUACAAUUAUUAAAUAAAAGCAAAACUUUCAACAACGGAUCUCUUGGCUCUGGCAACGAUGAAGAACGCAGCGAAACGCGAAAGGUAAUGCGAAUUGCAGAAUCAGUGAGUCAUCGAAUUUUUGAACGCACAUUGCGCCUCUCGGUAUUCCGGGAGGCACGCCUGUUCGAGCGCCAUUAACACCCUCCAAGCUGCGGCUUGAUGUUGGGCGAGGGUCUUCCCGUUCCCGUGGGGAGGGGAGGACGCGCCUGGAACGCGUGGGCAGCGGAAAAGCCAGACCGCGAGCGUAGCGAGAACACGAAAGAGUUCAAGUCGCUCCGGGACGGACCCUGGUGGACGUGUGGCCCGAAAGCAGAGUCACCUUUUCGAGGAAG
rnacentral:rRNA from 1 species